AUGGGCGUUUACCUGCACAAAACUCUUCUUUUGCCUGCUACCAUCCAUGUUAGAUAUGACUUGCUCCUCCUUGCCUUCCACCAUGAUUGUGAGGCCUGCCCAGACAUGUGGAACUCUGAUAUAAGUCUUUUGAGGUACAGCCUGGCACAAAAAGGAUGAGAUUUGUGGGCAGAAUUUUGGAAGAAUAUCUCCCGAGAGAACAUUCAGGACAGAGCCCUACAUCUCCCCGAGAAGAGGUGAAAGAGACUGCUCCUAUCUGCUCCUGCAUCAAACUUCAGGCUCAAGACCUGUCCAGAAAAAAAAAUGUCUUCUUUCAGGGAUGAACUGCUGUCCUCAUCAGACGCCUUAUUUUGUUUAGAAUUCAAGCUCACUUGACAGGUUAUUGUGGAGAUUAAAUGAAUUAAUACAUGUGAAGCAACUGUAACAACUCUUGACAUGCGUGGGCUGGACUUCCAGAAGAAACGUUGUCAGAACUCUGCCCAACUGAAAACAAGCCUACUAAAAAUAAAUAAAUAAAUAAAAUUUUAAAAAAUUGAUUAAUUAAAA
rnacentral:lncRNA from 1 species